rnacentral:rRNA from 1 species
GACGAACGCUGGCGGCGUGCUUAACACAUGCAAGUCGAACGCUGAAGCUCAGCUUUUGUUGGGUGGAUGAGUGGCGAACGGGUGAGUAACACGUGAGUAACCUGCCCCCUUCUUUGGGAUAACGCCCGGAAACGGGUGCUAAUACUGGAUAUUCACUGGUCUUCGCAUGGGGGUUGGUGGAAAGGGUUUUUCUGGUGGGGGAUGGGCUCGCGGCCUAUCAGCUUGUUGGUGGGGUGAUGGCCUACCAAGGCUUUGACGGGUAGCCGGCCUGAGAGGGUGACCGGUCACAGUGGGACUGAGAUACGGCCUAGACUCGUACGGGAGGCAGCAGUGGGGAAGAUGGCACAAUGGGCGAAAGCGUGAUGCAGCGACGCCGCGUGAGGGAUGGAGGCCUUCGGGUUGUGAACCUCUUUCGCUCAUGGUCAAGCCGCAACAAUGGUUGUGGUGAGGGUAGUGGGUAAAGAAGCGCCGGCUAACUACGUG